GGGGUGGUACGGUCCAUCCGCGGGGUUUCCGACCCCGCCCGCAGCCGGCUCCCGGCGGUUCAAGUUUCUGCGCCCAGAGGACGCGGCCUUGGCCAAUCCCAGGGCUACAGGGCGCUUUUAAAAUGCAGGAACCUACUUCAGGGAACCACAGAGGCCAAAUUCAGAAUCCCUACUUGAACCACUGACCUUUUGCCCUCUCCAAGGCCGGAAGCAAGCCCUUGCCUGCUGCACGCCUCAGUUGCCCCGUCUGUAAAGUGGGCAGCCCAUCAAAUUCACAUCUCCCUGGCUGAGAGUCAUCUGGAGAAAUAAUGAGUAUGUGACCUAAUGAAAAUUGCACGGUGCCUGCCAAGCAAAGUGGGUAAGCCACUGGCCCAGCACUGUCAUUACAGGAAGUGAAGCAGCGUGUGGGCUGAUGACUGGCGAGGGGUGCCGGAACCUUUCAUCAUGGGUUCCCUUGAGAGGCCAGGAUUCCAGCUGGAUCUUGUUCUGCUCCGUCCUGCCAGCCCCGACUAUGGGAAAGAUGUGGAAACUGCUCCGGACCCAUUCCUGGCCUGCAGGACAUGGCCCAUCCAGCUACCCCCACUCUGGGCUUGGAGGCCAAGGCCACAGCCUGGAGAUCAGGGAGUUCAGUGCCUACGUCAGCCCCAAGCUGGCCCUGUGAGUUCCCAACAGGAUGGGUGCCCAAACUGCAGUUUGCCUGAAAGGGAUGGCUCCGUAGACACAGGCCUGAGAAGGGCUGGGGUAAUUUCUUUCUGCUCUCUGAGGCAGUAUUCUAGGUCCUGGGGAUCUGGGGCAUGACCAGGAUUCCUCUCUCCCUGAUGUCUGCCCUGCAUACUCUAUGCCUAGGUGACACAACAUAGGAUUCAGGGGCUACAGUGCCCAGCUCAGGCCUUCUGAAAGCUGGGCCUGCAGACUCCUCUGCGCUCCCCUCUUCUGGCUCCCUGAAUCUGUUCCUCCUCCCUUGAAGCAUCCCAGCCACCCUGCAGAGCCUGAUGCAGGGCUUACCCCUGGGGGAAUAUUGGGGAAGUGAAGGAAGAGAGUGAUACAUCACUGAAUGGCUCAGGAUAGGGAAUGCACCAGGGACUGUGCAUGACAUGGAGUUAGUGCUCACCAGGACACUUGAACCUGAGUCUGUCAGAGCCCAGAGCCAGAGCUCUCACUCACAAUGUCACACCACCCCUUUCAUCCAUCCAUCUGUCCAGCUAUCCAUCCACACACCUACCCAUCCAUCCACCUAUCUAUCCCUCUAUCCAUUCAUCUACUCUUCCAUCUUCCUAUCCAUCCAUCCACCCACACAUCCACCCAUCCAUCCUCCCACACAUCCAUCCAUCCAUCCACCCACACAUCCACCCAUCCAUCCUCCCACACAUCCAUCCAUCCAUCCACCCAUCCA
rnacentral:lncRNA from 1 species